GACGUAGGGCGCGAGCGUUGUCCGGAUUUAUUGGGCGUAAAGAGCUCGUAGGCGGCUUGUCGCGUCGACUGUGAAAUCCCGCGGCUCAACUGCGGGUCUGCAGUCGAUACGGGCAGGCUAGAGUUCGGUAGGGGAGACUGGAAUUCCUGGUGUAGCGGUGAAAUGCGUAGAUAUCGGAAGGAACAUCAGUGGCGAAAGCGGCUUCCUGGACCAGUACCGACGUUCAGGCACGAAAGCGUGGGGAGCAAACAGG
rnacentral:rRNA from 1 species